rnacentral:rRNA from 1 species
AAUGAACGCUGGCGGCGUGCCUAACACAUGCAAGUCGCACGAGAAAGUCCCAGCUUGCUGGGGCUAGUAAAGUGGCGCACGGGUGAGUAACGCGUGGAUAAUCUACCUCCGAAUUGGGGAUAACAUUGCGAAAGCGGUGCUAAUACCGAAUGACAUCCCCGGGACUCCGGUCUUGGUGAUCAAAGGUGGCCUCUACAUGUAAGCUAUCGUUUGGAGAUGAGCCCGCGUACCAUUAGCUAGUUGGUAGGGUAAUGGCCUACCAAGGCUGCGAUGGUUAGCUGGUCUGAGAGGAUGAUCAGCCACACUGGAACUGACACACGGUCCAGACUCCUACGGGAGGCAGCAGUGAGGAAUUUUGCGCAAUGGGGGAAACCCUGACGCAGCAACGCCGCGUGAGUGAUGAAGGCCUUCGGGUCGUAAAGCUCUGUCAAGUGGGAAGAACCUGCUUCGCGCUAAUACCGCGGAGCACUGACGGUACCACUGAAGGAAGCACCGGCUAACUCCGUGCCAGCCGCCGCCGUAAUAC